rnacentral:rRNA from 1 species
CCCUCUGGGGUGCAGCAGGCGCGAAACCUCUACAAUGCACGCAAGUGUGAUAGGGAAACCCCUCGUGCUUAUCGAAAGAUAGGCUUUUGUUAUGUGUAAUGAGCAUAUCGAAUAAGUGAUGGGCAAGACUGGUGCCAGCAGCCGCGGUAAUACCAGCGUCACGAGUGGAGUUCGCUUUUAUUGGGUCUAAAGUGUCCGUAGCUGGUUUGAUCAGUUCUUUGUGAAAUUUCUUUGGCUUAACCAAGAAAUUGCAAGGAAUACUGUCAAACUUGAGACCGGGAGAGGUAAGAAGUAUUGUUUGGGUAGCGGUAAAAUGUUAUAAUCCUUACAAGACUAACUAAUGCGAAGGCAUCUUACUAGAACGGAUCUGACAGUGAGGGACGAAAGCUAGGGUAGCGAACCGGAUUAGAUACCCGGGUAGUCCUAGCCGUAAACGCUGCGGGUUACGCUUUGCUAAAUCUACGAGAUUUAGCAGGGGGGAAGCGAAGGCGUUAAACCCGCCACCUGGGAAGUACAGCCGCAAGGCCGAAACUUAAAGGAAUCGCCGGGGGAGUACUACAAGCGGUGCGGCGUGCGGUUUAAUUGGAUUUUACACCGAGCAACUUACCAGGGGCGACAGCACAAUGAAGGUCAGAUUAAAGGUUUUACCUGAGGCGCUGAGAGGAGGUGCAUGGCC